UGAGCAAUCUGCCCUUCUCUUCGGAAUAAGCGUUGGAAACGACGUCUAAUGCCGAAUACGACCUCCUUUCGCAUGAUCGGAGGUGGAAAGCUCCGGCGGAGAAGGAUGAGCUCGCGGCCUAUCAGCUAGUUGGUGUGGGUAACGCCCACCAAGGCGACGACGGGUAGCCGGCCUGAGAGGGUGACCGGCCACACUGGGACUGAGACACGGCCCAGACUCCUACGGGAGCAGCAGG
rnacentral:rRNA from 1 species